AAAUUGAAGAGUUUGAUCAUGGCUCAGAUUGAACGCUGGCGGCAGGCCUAACACAUGCAAGUCGAACGGUAACAGGAAGCAGCUUGCUGCUUUGCUGACGAGUGGCGGACGGGUGAGUAAUGUCUGGGAAACUGCCUGAUGGAGGGGGAUAACUACUGGAAACGGUGGCUAAUACCGCAUAACGUCGCAAGACCAAAGAGGGGGACCUUCGGGCCUCUUGCCAUCAGAUGUGCCCAGAUGGGAUUAGCUUGUUGGUGAGGUAACGGCUCACCAAGGCGACGAUCCCUAGCUGGUCUGAGAGGAUGACCAGCCACACUGGAACUGAGACACGGUCCAGACUCCUACGGGAGGCAGCAGUGGGGAAUAUUGCACAAUGGGCGCAAGCCUGAUGCAGCCAUGCCGCGUGUAUGAAGAAGGCCUUCGGGUUGUAAAGUACUUUCAGCGGGGAGGAAGG
rnacentral:rRNA from 33 species